rnacentral:rRNA from 1 species
UGCAAGUCGGACGAAGUAGCAAUACUUAGUGGCAGACGGGUGAGUAACAUGUAGGUAUCUACCCUUUGGCCUGGAAUAACACGAGGAAACUUGUGCUAAUACCGGAUAAGUCUUUACAGAGAAAGCUUUAUGCACCAUUGGAUGAGCCUGCACUUGAUUAGUUUGUUGGUGGGGUAAUGGCCUACCAAGACUUUGAUCAAUAGCUGAUUUGAGAGGAUGAUCAGCCACAUUGGGACUGAGACACGGCCCAAACUCCUACGGGAGGCAGCAGUAGGGAAUCUUGCACAAUGGAGGAAACUCUGAUGCAGCGAUGCCGCGUGAGUGAAGAAGGCCUUUGGGUUGUAAAGCUCUUUCGUCGGGGAAGAAAAUGACUGUACCCGAAUAAGAAGGUCCGGCUAACUUCGUGCCAGCAGCCGCGGUAAUACGAAGGGACCUAGCGUAGUUCGGAAUUACUGGGCUUAAAGAGUUCGUAGGUGGUUGAAAAAGUUGGUGGUGAAAUCCCAGAGCUUAACUCUGGAACUGCCAUCAAAACUUUUCAGCUAGAGUUUGAUAGAGGAAAGCAGAAUUUCUAGCGUAGAGGUGAAAUUCGUAGAUAUUAGAAAGAAUACCAAUUGCGAAGGCAGCUUUCUGGAUCAUUACUGACACUGAGGAACGAAAGCAUGGGUAGCGAAGAGGAUUAGAUACCCUCGUAGUCCAUGCCGUAAACGAUGUGUGUUAGACGUUGGAAAUUUAUUUUCAGUGUCGCAGCGAAAGCAAUAAACACACCGCCUGGGGAGUACGACCGCAAGGUUAAAACUCAAAUGAAUUGACGGGGACCCGC